AUUGAACGCUGGCGGCAUGCCUUACACAUGCAAGUCGAACGGCAGCACGGACUUCGGUCUGGUGGCGAGUGGCGAACGGGUGAGUAAUGCAUCGGAACGUGCCAUUGAGUGGGGGAUAACGUAGCGAAAGUUGCGCUAAUACCGCAUAUUCUGUGAGCAGGAAAGCAGGGGACCGCAAGGCCUUGCGCUCUUUGAGCGGCCGAUGUCAGAUUAGCUAGUUGGUGAGGUAAAGGCUUACCAAGGCGACGAUCUGUAGCGGGUCUGAGAGGAUGAUCCGCCACACUGGAACUGAGACACGGUCCAGACUCCUACGGGAGGCAGCAGUGGGGAAUUUUGGACAAUGGGGGCAACCCUGAUCCAGCCAUGCCGCGUGAGUGAAGAAGGCCUCGGUUGUAAGCGUACUUUCGGUCCGGG
rnacentral:rRNA from 1 species